UACAGAGGGUGCGAGCGUUGUCCGGAAUCACUGGGCGUAAAGGGCGCGUAGGCGGUUUUUCAAGCGUGCGGUGAAAGCUCAGGGCUCAACCCUGAGUCGGCCGUGCGAACUGGAAGACUGGAGCACGGUAGAGGCACAUGGAAUUCCGGGUGUAGCGGUGGAAUGCGUAGAGAUCCGGAGGAACACCGGUGGCGAAGGCGGGUCUCUGGGCCGAUACUGACGCUGAGGAGCGAAAGCGUGGGGAGCGAACAGG
rnacentral:rRNA from 1 species